AAGAGGAGGAGGGGAGGAAGAGCAGAGGGAGAUGAGAGGAGCUUUUGAUAUUUAUUAGGCCUGGACCUCACCAAAGACCUCUCCCAGGACUGCCGAUGUGACAAUUAAGCCAGAGCUGAGAAGAAAGGGAGGUUGCAGCCUUGAGACACGAACAAAAGCAGCAACGAAGGAGGACGAAGGGGGUGGGGGUGGGGGGUUAGAGAAGGGUUUAGCGUACGAAACAACAACACAAAAAAAAAAAGAAACGGAGGGGGAAGAAAGGCUCCGGAAAGGAGCCGCUGGAGUUUGCUGAAGAAAACGGCAUCAGCGUCUUAGACGUGAUCAAGGUGCCUCCCAUCUGACAAACGCCAUCGAGGCCUGACACGUAGAGAGGCGUGCCCCCGGGUCCGCCGGCUUUUGUUGCGCAUUAAUGACCCUGCCUCCAUUCCACCCACAACGCCCGCAGCUCUCGCUACACCUUUUCUUUUUCCUUCGCCCUCGUUUCACCUCGUUUUCUGUGUGAGUGUGUGUGUGUGUGUGCUCGGAAACGCUCUUGUCUCAGAGGAGCUCGGCGCCGCACAAUGGCCAUCUAAACUCAUUAAGAAAAUUCCGUAAAGAGCCAUUAACAAACGGCUUCUCUUUGGCCGGAGAUAUCAGGUCUAAUUAGGUGACCGUUCUUGACAGGGUUGCAAAAACAAAAGGCGCACUCGCAUUUGAAAAGGUUCAGGUCCCGUAAAGGGCCUCACUUCUUUUUAUUUAUAUAUUUAUUUUCUUUUCGGUUUUCCCUCCCUCAUCUUCAUCUCCCCUCCCUGCCAGAGCCAACUAAGGACUCAAGAUUGAACAGGUGAUUCGCUGUCCUCUUUUGCGAGACUAAACACCGACGGUCAAACGGACUACAGUGUCAACCCGGAAGAACUUCUUCUGAUCCGGUUCAACUUCAAGUCGGUGUGGCACCUGUGAAGUUCACACUCCUUUUAUGUCUUUAACAAGAUAAAAACAACAGAAAAAUACAGUUUUUGUCCCACCGAUGGACCCCUAGUAGAUUAAAACAUCUGCUUAAAUUCAGCAAACAGCUCCACCGUUUGUUUAAAGGUGAUUACAAAAAAAACAUACGACUUUUUCCCUUAAUUGUACAAAAAAAGGGUAUAAAUUGCAUCAAUUAUGCCAAUUUAUAUCAAUAAAGACCAACAAAUUGGAUACAAGGUCAUAAAGAUUGUUAAUGAACACACAGGUUAAACACUUUUUUUUCAAAUACAGCAUCGCACUUACAAAAAUGUUUGUUAUUUAGCUUUUAUAUGCUGGAAUGUUUCUCAGUUUCUUAAUUUAUCCAGUAGUAUUAUUCAAAAUCUGUAAUUUAUAGACUACACACUUUCUUUGGGAUCAUUUAUUUUCUAUAAAGAUUGCACAAUUGCAGUGAUAGUCCUAGAAAUUAUUCAUAUGCUACCUAAAUUGGAUAACCUGUUUUUAAAAAAGAAAAAUAUUGCCCGAUUAUAGUAAGAAGUCAUAAGCAAAUACUCGUAAACUACAAAUGCUGGAUCAGCUACUUUUGAAAAAGAAAAAACAUUGCUUAAACGCGGUGCUUAAAUUUGCGAGUCGAAUAGAAUCGGAUCGUUAAAAAUGGACUGAUAUUGUGUUGUCAACUACGAAUAACGGCAAUAGAUCGAAUUGUUUAAGGGAAUCGUCACGCCCCAUAAGGACGUUUCCGACUCAGCAAAUCCCUUCUACGCAAAAGAAUUUCUAAGGGUGAUGCAAUGAAAAAUGGUAUUGACCUCUUUUUCUUGCUUUACUUUGUCGUGAAAUGUAGGAUCUCUGUUUUUUUUUCGUAAUACGUAAAACACAAAAAUUCCGACAUGUCUUUUAAUCAUCCGGCCCUCCGUUCUUCCUUCUCUCUUCGAUCUGGGAUAAAGAGUGCUCUCCGCGAAGGAAAACCUAAAAGCUUGACAUCAUUUGCAGUGUUCGGACGCUUUGCCAGGAAUUGCUGCAAACACUGUAAAAAAAAAAAAAACUCCACUAACAGUUGGUUUAUCAAGUAUACCACUCUGGGAAAUUACAUUUUCUCUGUUAUGCUGAGUGCAUGUGUGUGUUUGUGUGGCCAGUGGCUCCGUAGAUGUGUAUAUUGUUUAUGAUAAGACAUAUUCUUGCCUCUUAAUCUCUCGUUUCACACUGGAGCUGCUUCAGAUUAGGAUCUUUGCAGUUUUAAAUUGGCUUUUUGCUCCAGACUGAAGAAUUUUCCCAUGUUUACGACCGAGUUCGAAACCGGCCACAUUUAGAUCCACACCAGCAACACAACCCUAACAUGAUUAGGGAAAUGGCCCAUGAAAAACGUUGAUUAUUCCACUGCCAUUUCUUUUUUUUUUUUAUUUCUUUUUUGCUCUUAUCUUAAGUAAAGCAACAAUCACA